rnacentral:lncRNA from 1 species
GAACGUGACAACUUGCUUUCUCGUAAAUGUUUUUGACCGUUAUGUUGUCACGAACGUGACACAUUGCUGCCUCGUAACCAUGUCAUGACCGUUACCCCCAUUCAAUUCACCUCUUUAUCCCCAUUAAUUUUUUUUUUCUCACCAACUUCUCCUCCCAAUUUCAAAACUCUUUCUUUAAAUACCUUCACCACAUUUUUCUUCCUACACCA